rnacentral:pre_miRNA from 1 species
CGCUGUAGGACUCCCCGUAGAAGCUCCAGAAGACUUCACCGGGUGUUCUGCGGUCAG